rnacentral:tRNA from 1 species
GCCCGUAUAGCUCAGAGGCAGAGCACUAGUCUCGUAAACUAGGGGUCGUGAGUUCGAUUCUCACUGGGGGCA